CUCCAUGCUCUUCCAGGCCCGCAGCCGUCCUCCAUGCACGUGCAGGUCCGCAGCCGUCCUCCAUGCACGUGCAGGUCCGCAGCCGUCCUCCAUGCACGUGCAGGUCCGCAGCCGUCCUCCAUGCACGUGCAGGUCCGCAGCCGUCCUCCAUGCACGUGCAGGUCCGCAGCCGUCCUCCAUGCACGUGCAGGUCCGCAGCCG